AUUGAACGCUGGCGGCAUGCCUUACACAUGCAAGUCGAACGGCAGCACGGGUGCUUGCACCUGGUGGCGAGUGGCGAACGGGUGAGUAAUACAUCGGAAUGUACCGUAUCGUGGGGGAUAACGCAGCGAAAGCUGUGCUAAUACCGCAUACGCCCUGAGGGGGAAAGCGGGGGAUCGAAAGACCUCGCGCGAUUAGAGCGGCCGAUGCCUGAUUAGCUUGUUGGUGGGGUAAAAGCCCACCAAGGCGACGAUCAGUAGCUGGUCUGAGAGGACGAUCAGCCACACUGGGACUGAGACACGGCCCAGACUCCUACGGGAGGCAGCAGUGGGGAAUUUUGGACAAUGGGGGAACCCUGAUCCAGCAAUGCCGCGUGAGUGAAGAAGGCCUUCGGGUUGUAAAGCUCUUUUGUCAGGGAAGAAACACCGGCUCUAACACAGUCCGGGAAUGACGGUACCUGAAGAAUAAGCACCGGCUAACUACGUGCCAGCAGCCGCCGCCG
rnacentral:rRNA from 1 species